UGCCGAAUCAACUAGCCCUGAAAAUGGUUGGCGCUGAGUGUGACGCUCAUACCCGGCCGUCGGCAGCAGCAAAGUACGCCCCGACAAGUAGGAGGGACGCCGUGGUGAGCGUGGAGCCGCCUCAGGCGCAGAUCUUGGUGGUAGUAACAAAUACUCAAGUAAGAGCCUUGAGGGCCAAUUCGCGGAGAAGGGUUCCAUAUGAACAGCCAUUGCACAUGGGUCAGUCGAUCCUAAGGUCUAGGGUAGUUCCGCUCUGAGCGGCGGCGCGCGCUCACUUCGCCCGUGGGUAAGCCCUUCCAGGCCGAAAAGGAAUCGGUUCAAUAUUCCCGAACCUGAAGUAGCCCGCCGCCAGUAGGCGGUCAGAGCUGUAAAGCUAUGGAGCCCGGAGACACCACCGGAGCCCCGGAAAGAGUUUUCUUUUUUUUGUAAAGGGUGCAGCUCUUUGAAACCGGCUGGAUCGGAGAGAGGGACUGCGGCACCGUACAGCGCCGCGUCUGGAGCGGCGUCCGGAGUUGCACCGGUCGGCCCUUGAAAAUCUGGGGGACGAGUGUAGACUCUCACCUCAGAUCGUACCCAUAACCGCAGCAGGUCUAUAAGGUGAACAGCCUCUGGUCAAUAGAACAAUGUAGGUAAGGGAAUCAGCAAGCCGGAUCCGUAACUUCGGGAUAAGGACUGGCUCUGAGGACUGGGUCGGUCGGGCCGCGGCAGGAAGCAGGCACGAACCCACAGCGUGACUGGGCGAGCUGGUCCAAAGACCGCCUGCCUAGCAGGCGGCGCCGAGGGUGCUGGCAAACCCGGACUUUGCAUUGGGUCCGGCUCGUGGACCGUCCUGGCUGCGCGGCGGCCUCACGCCGUCGCCUCGACCGGCG
rnacentral:rRNA from 1 species